CUCUAGACCUGAUGGAAACGGCAUCCUUUUAUCGCCCCGCGGCGGAUAAAGAUACAGCGGACAGCAGGAACAGCU
rnacentral:sRNA from 1 species